UAAGGGGUAUGAAGAAUGCUAGGAAAAACAUGGGAUUGUUGCCUAUAAAAAGCCAAGAAAUUGAUGAAAAAAGGACAAGAAAAUUAAGAGAGAAUGGAAAACUCUGCUAAAUUGAAACUAAGUCACAUUCCAUACAAAUCUUUGAGAUACAUUAGGUUGAGAACAUUAUAAAGAGUUCACACAAUUUAAAUUAGAUAGUUUUUUCAUAAACACCUUGUGCUAACUUAAGCAUUCAAUGGUUUACGCCGGCAAAACCACCGGCGUCUCUGAUAUGUUUUGGUGAUCGCAUGCUUAGAAAGAAGAGAAAGGAUGAUUUGAACCCCAAGAGCUCGGGCAAUUGCUAAGGCAGGGAGAGGGCGUCAUCUUCUCCAUUGAUCACACAAGCGUUGGUGGAAGGAUCUGGUCGGGCAAAGAACGAUUAGAUUUCAGCAUCAACAUUUUAGCGCCGUCUGUGGGAAGCUGAAUAAAAAGCUACCACCAAGUUAGUGAUCAUCAGAGAAGUAGCGAACGAUCGGUCAUGGAUGCAAUAAGGAAGGAUGCCAUAGGAGGCGACAAUGAAACUAGUGAAACGAUUACUCUCCGAGAGAUCGCAAAUGAGGCUAGAGAAAGGAUGAUGCAGGAACGAAUGGAACAGAUGGAGAAGCAAAUAGAGACUCUUACAACUAUACUGCAUGAGCUAAGGGAUGAACGGAGAAGGGAUUGUGAAACUGUUGCGGUGAGAGAUGAAGCCAUUACAGAACCCAGCCUCUGGAGGCAUAGAAUCGAGGAGAUUCCUCCGUUGGGAGAGCAACCCUAUUGGGUGCAUCCACAUAGAAGUGCAGGUCGGAUCCCAAGAGAGUGCGUGGAUGAAGGGAGAUACCAAUCUCGCUCUGGGCGAGUUCUGGGAGUUGAUAGCCGAGGAGUAAAUGUUGAGGAAAGUGAGCUCAGACAGCGACUGCAUAAUGCUGAGCAGGAGCGAGACCACGUAAUUGCACGUGAUCCAGACCACACUUUAGAAUUGGAGGGUGAGGUGCGACGAUUGGUGCAAGUGAUGUAUGAGAUUCAAGGCAAGAGAAAGCCGCCAAGCUAGAGGAUAAUGCUAGAUGAAGAGUCUCCGCUAUCAGCCGAGAUCAUGGGUACUGUGAUCCCAAGAGAUUUCCGCUUUCCUGACCUCAAAUACUCCGGGAGAAACAACCCGCUGGUGCACAUUGAGCGUUUCAAUGACAUGACGGGAGUACAGGGAUUAACACCAGCUCAGAGAUGUAGGGUGUUUCCAUUGACACUAGAGGGACGAGCCCGUGAGUGGUGCCGUAAGUGGAAGUAUAGGGAGCUAUUAGCAGAUGUGCCAAGCGUUGGCAGAGCAGUUCCGCGGAGCGGUAGCCCUAAAAGACGAUAGAUGGAAUUGAUGGGGAUAAAGCAAGAGGAGGACGAAUCCCUUCGCGAUUUCAUGAAGAGAUAUCAUAGGGCCGUGCUUGAUUUGGGGGCUUUCAAUCACCCACAAUCGCUGAAAUGAUUAAAAGAAGGUGUGAGGAUAGGCCAAUUGUGGUACAACUUGAGAAAUCCCAUCAUUCAGAAUUAUUCGGCGGGAUAUGAGCAGGCAAGGAGAGAUAUAGAAAUUGAAGAGGAGAAAACGGCGAGAAUAAAGAGAGAACAAUUGGAGGAGUUAAGGCGAAAGGAGAAGAGACCACUGAGUGGAAGCGGGUCGGGAAAGCGAGCUGGAGAAUCAUCAAUAAUGGGGGGAGCAUCUGCUCGAUCCCGCCCUUACACAAUAACUCAAAGACCACAACAGUUCCAACACAGCCGAGCUCAGCCUCAGUGUCCCCCAUUCCCGGAACGGCAGCGAGAAUUCCAGCAUAUGGCUGCCUAUCCAUAUCACAAUACUUCAAGAGUAGUGAAUGCGAUUAACCCCAGAACUGGCAGACCAAGCCAGCCACCCCCAGUCCCAGCUCGGGACGAGUUUCACGACAGCCGAGCAGUCCAAUUGAUCGACCAGAGCUCAACCUAUAAACAAUACACCCCAUUGAAAAUCUCUAUGGAGGAACUAUAUGAGAAGAUUGAAGGACGAGGCCUCCUAUAUCCCCCUGCCCCUGUAACCAAACCAACUCACAAGCGGGAUCAAGGCAUGUUUUGCAAGUUCCACGACACACAUGGUCACACCAUUGGCCAGUGCAGAGAUUUAAAGAACCAGGUGGAAAAUCUGGUGAGAAACCGAUAUCUGGAUGAGUAUGUAGAUGGGGCAUUUCCUAUUAUCAAAUCACAAUAUAUGUUGGGAGGUGGAACUGAAAGGAAUCUGAAGCGUGAACAACCGAUCAUUCGGGUGAUAGAAAGGGGGCCAAACUGGCUGGAGAUUCGAACAGGGUAAGGAAGAAUUAUGGGAGAUAUGCUCUGACCAACAAAAAUGUGUUUUUCAAUUUGCCAACAGCUAAGAGGGCUAAAGUAAGGCAAGUUCUUAUUAUGUGGACGAAUGAUGAUGAAGAAAGUGUCUUAUACCCUCAUGAGGAUGCAUUGGUGAUUAAGGCAAUGGUGGCGGGAAAAGAAUUCCAGCGAAUAUUGGUGGAUACAGACAGCUCAAUUGACAUACUCUUUAAAUCAACCUUGGAUGAGAUGGGAAUUGCGGACUUGAAAUUGGAGCAGACGAACAUAUCUUUUAAGGGAUUCAGAGGAGGACGGUUAACCCCCAUAGGGGUCGUCGAGCUGCGAGUUAUUGUGGGAUCAAGGCCGUUUGAAAAGACGGUGAUACUGGAUUUUGUCGUGGUGGAAGAAAGGAGCCCUUAUCAGAUAAUACUUUGGCGGCCGUUUAUGAUAGUGAGCCAAUGUGUUAUAUCCACACAUUACUUAGCUUUGAAGUACAUAGUAAACAGGGUUGUGGGCAUAGUAAAGGGUGACCAAAGAAUGGCAAAGAGUUGCUAUGCUACAGCCGCCAAGGAAACCUUACAAGUUACGGCGCUUGAUAGCCGAUGAGAUUCUAGAAAGGGUCGCCAUGAACCAGUUGAGACGUUGGAAGAGGUGAUAGUUAACCAGGACGAUCCGAGCAGAAUAGUAAAGAUCGAGUCGGAGUUAGGCGAAGCAAUAAGAGGCGAGCUGAUAAAAUACCUUCAGUCCCAUGCAAAUAUAUUUGCCUAGUCGUACGAAGAAAUGCCAGGAAUUGAUCCUGGGGUGGCUUGCCAUAAGUUGGCAAUUAAGAAAGGUGCAAGGCCGGUGAGGCAGAAAAGAAGAUGUUUUAACCAAGAGAUGUACGAGGCCAUAAAAGCUGAAGUAGAAAAGCUGUUGCGAGCAGGAUUCAUAAGGGAGGCUAAAUACCCAGAGUGAAUUUCUAAUGUAGUGUUGGUAAAAAAACCCAACGAGAUAUAGAGGAUGUGUGUGAAUUUUACAGAUCUCAACAAGGCAUGCCCGAAGGAUGGCUUCCCCCUACCUAAAAUAGAUCAAUUGGUUGAUUCAACGGCAGGUCACAGUCUGCUAAGUUUUAUGGAUACUUUUUUCGGAUACAACCAGAUACCCAUGGACAAGCAGGAUGAAGAGUACUACAUUUAUAACUAACAUGAGUUUGUUUUGCUACAGGACGAUGCCCUUUGGCUUGAAAAAUACAAGUGCUACUUAUCAAAGGUUGGUGAAUAAAAUUUUCAAGCUGCUAAUUAGUCAUACCAUAGAAGUAUACGUGGAUGAUAUGAUUACGAAGUCUAAAAAGCCAGUAGACCAUGUGAAGCACUUGGAAGAGACCUUUGACCUACUGAGGAAAUAUCAUAUGAAGCUAAAUCCCGAGAAAUGUGCAUUUGGCAUUAGUUCGGACAAGUUCUUGGGAUUUUUGGUAAGCCAUCGGGGAAUUGAAGCUAAUCUAGAGAAGAUACAAGCCGUAGUGGAAAUAAAAUCUCCCCAAACUGUCAAGGAGGUGCAGAGCCUUACAAGGAAGCUGGCUGCACUACACCGAUUUAUUUCAAGAGCCACGGAUAAAUGUCAACCUUUUUCCAAACCAUAAAGAAAUGGAGGAAAAUAGAGUGGACAGUAGAAUGUGAGGAGGCGUUUGGGCAACUGAAGGAGUAUCUUGCCAGUGCCCCAUUGUUAUCAACUCCGAGAGAGGGUGAUGAGUUGUAUUUAUACUUGGUUGUCUCCAAGUGGGCUAUCAGCUCGGUCUUAGCAAGAGAGGACGAGAGAAACCAACACCCAGUGUACUACACUAGCAAAGCCCUGGUGGACGCCGAAACCAGAUAUCCAAUGAUGGAGAAAUUGGCGUUGGCUUUAGUAACGCCAACACACAAGCUCAGACCAUAUUUUCAAGCCCACCCGAUAAUAGUGCUGACUGACCAAGCUCUUCGGCAAACGCUCCUAAAACCAUAUGCAUCUAGUCGGUUAGUGAAAUGGUCUGUAGAGCUGAGUGAAUUCGACUUAACUUACAAACCUCAAGGAGCAAUCAAAACUCAAGCCUUAGCCGAUUUUAUGGUUGACCGUACGGAACCAGGGGAAGGGGUUCAGGAGGAACAAUCGGUUGAACCAGAGAAACCAGAAGGGUGUGGCUGGUAAUGGUUGAUGGGUCACGUAGUGAACAAUAGUCCGAAGCAGGAGUAGUAAUACGAAGCCCAGAAGAGGCUGAAGUGUCCUACACAGUAGAAUUCGAAUUUCAGCUCACUAGUAAUCAGGCGGAAUAUGAAGCCCUCAUCACUGGGCUCGGGUUGGCACAUGCAUUACGAGCAUAAAGGGUAGAGAUCCAAACAGAUUCCCAGUUGGUUUGUAAUCAGCUCAACGAGCAAUUUCAAGCAAGGGAAGAGAAGAUAGAGCUUUAUUUGAAGAAAGCAAAGCGAAUGAUUGAGCUCUUCCGAGAAGUAGAAAUAAAGCAGAUAUCCAAGACAGAGAAUUACCAGGCAGAUAUGUUGGCCAGAAUGGCCACAAUUGCGGAUCGGAAGUUACCCAAGUCGAUCCCAUUGGAAGUAAAGACCUCGCCAAGUAUAAGGGAGGAAGUAGAAGUAAUUCGAAUGAGCACCGAAAGAUCCUGGAUAGACCAAAUUCUCUCAUACAUCCGCGAUAGCAUUUUAUCAGAGGAUAGGAAGCAAACAAGGAAGUUGAAGUGUCGGGCAACAAGGUACACGUUACUCGAUGGGGUACUUUAUCGCCAAGGAUUCACUUUACCCAUCUUGAGAUGUUUGGAUGGUGAGGAAGCAAAUUAUGUGCUGAGGGAAAUUCAUGAAGGAGUAUGCAGCAACCAAUCAAGGGCCAAGACUUUGGCUUUCAAGGCACUUUGGCAAGGGUAUUUUUGGCCGACUAUGCACCAGGAUGCAAAGGGGAUAACAAAAAAUUGUAGAGUCUGCCAAAACUUCUCGGAUGUUCCUGCUCAGCAGGCUAACCGCUAUGUCAUCCCCAUAGCCUUUUGUCUAGUUGGGGAUUGACUUGAUCAGUCCAUUACCCAAAGGCCGAGGAGCUGCAACACAUGCAAUUGUGGUUAUAAAUUAUUUCACAAAAUAGGUGGAAGUGGAGGCACUUAGUCAAAUCACAGACAAGAAGACAACUAAUUUUAUUUGGAAAAAUAUCAUUUGUAGAUACAGAAUCUCUUAUGCCAUAAUAACUGACAAUGGGAGACAAUUUGACAACCACAAUUUCAGAGAAUUUUGCCAAAACUUGGGCGUAGAUUUGAAGUUUUGUACUCCAGCACAUCCUCAGGCAAAUGGGCAAGUAGAGGCAGCCAACAAAGUUAUAAAGAAGCUCUUGAAAACCAGGCUGGAAGAAAAGAAUGGAACUUGGAUCGACGAGUUACCACGAGUGUUAUAGGCCUAUCGGACAACCCAUAAAACCGCUACGGGAGAAACCCUAUUUGCUUUAGCCUUCAGUCAUGAGGCAGUAAUCCCAGCAGAGAUUGGGGUAGGAACGCAUCGGACAGAAUAUUUCAACGAAGAACAUAAUGACGAGCAGAUAUGCAUGAGCCUAAACCUGUUGGAAGAAAGAAGAGAAAGAGCCUCACAAAAAAUAGCCCAAUGUCAACAAAGCAUAAUGCGCUACUACAACAAUAUAUACGCAUAAGGCAGUUCCAAGCCAGGGAUUGAGUACUUAGAAAAGUGAACCAGAACACAAGAGAUCCUAACCAAGGCAUCUUGGCCCGAACUGGGAGGGUCCGUACAAGGUAGUGCGAACGACUGGCCUAGGAGCCUAUAAACUGGCCUAUCCAGAUGGACGAGAGGUAAAGAGGCUAUGGAACGUUGAGCAUUUGAAAAAGUAUUUCCAGUAAGUAAAGUGCUUUAUCAAGUUUCAUUCCGCUAAGUUAUUUCUGUUAAAUGUAUUAUGGAAUUGUAGCAUGCGCGUGUAUUUCGCCUCUUGUAAUCCAGAAAAAGUUCAAUAAAGAUGAAUUUAUCACAAAAUUUCAUUGUUAGACUAAAUUUGUUAAGGUAAGCAAGUGUCUAUUCAUAUUCGGUCGUCUAAAGGACCAGCAGCAAAGUCUACGAAAUUUGUUAAAGCAAGCGAGUGCCAAUUCCUGCUCGGUUGUCUAAAGGACCAGCAGGCAAAAUCUACAAAAUUUGUUAAGGUAAACAAGUGCCAAUUCUUGCUCGAUCGUCUAAAGGACCAACAUGCAAAGUUUACGAAAUUUGUUAAGGCAAGCAAGUGUUUAUUCCUGCUCGAUCGUCUAAAUGACCAACAGGCAAAGUCUACGAAAUUUGUUAAGGCAAGCAAGUGCUAAUUCCUGCUCAGUUGUCUAAAGGACCAGCAAGUAAAAUCUACAAAAUUUACUAAGGCAAACGGAUGUCAAUUCCUGCUCGGUCGUCUAAGGACGGGCAGGCAAAAUAAAUAAUUUUACUAAAGGAUUGCCUCUUCCUACCCAGCUUCUUAUAGAGAAGCAAGCACAAUUAACAAUAUAAUUCGCAGAAACGAUUAGAACUAUAAUAAGAAAGUAGUUAGAAAGCAUCAAAAGCUUAUAAAAGCCCAAAUAUUGACAAGCAAACAAAAAAUUCAGAAUUUACACAGAAAACAAAUUUAUGGACUGUGAGGUUCAGCAAUCCCGGUAGAAGGGGAAUUCGCAAUCUCAGAAAGAGAAGGACCAGCGACUGUCGGAGGAGCAAGUGUUGACCCCUGACCUGUUCCCAAAGGUUGACCUCCUGCUUCCUUUUCCUGUUCCUCACUCGAAGAAGCCUCGACCUAAUCCUGGUCCUCCGGGUCCUUACUCCCCCGGCCUUGCUCAGCCAUAUACUCUUGCACCCCUGCCUCCAGCUUACUCAUGUUCAACUCUGGAUAUUCCUUAUUGAGCACGAACAUGAUGCACUUGUAGCAAAAGGCAAGUCCCGAAUUUUACUCUACAUCCAGACGGUCGUCCACAGCAACAUAUUUACCCGUCAACUCAUUUAUCUGCUCAUUCAAAGACUUGAUUUGCUCGUCAUAAGCAGUCCCCAAAGUGUCUCGCUCGUUGCGAGUAGUCUCGAGAUCAGACUUCAAAUCACCAAACUCGCUCUCAAGCUUAGAGGACUUGGAUUCAGCAAAGGCAACCUUCUCCGCCAGGUCCAGGAUUUGCCUGUGUGCAACUCGAGCAUCUUCUCCUUCGAGCGAUCAGCGGACUCACCCUUUUUUUUCAAGUCCUGGUUGUCCGCCUGAAGCUUCCUCUCGUGUCACACAGACCUGCCCCUGUAGCAAGAAACCAAAGUAGCAAGUUUGAAUGCCACCCUUUGGACAGAGCCUCCCAGCUCGACAAGAGUCAUGCCUUCGAUGUCUUUGACCAUUUUAGGCCCCACUGACUUGUUGUAAUCCUUCUUAUAUGGAGUCAAGUAGUCACCCUGGCCCCAAGUUGGAAGAUAGGAGGACCGAUCUCCAGAUUGAGCACUGACCUCAGGGCAUUGUCGUGAAGCUUCUCUCCGCUAUUCUUGCGAGGCGGAGGGGGAGACAGAGUAGGGGGCUGUGGCCUUUUAAGGACCAAAAUGACUUUUCUUCUGAGGUGUGGUUGCGUUGCUAGAAUCACCUGGACCCCGAGCACGCUUCCUUGACAUGACACUAAGGAUCUUGUUAUCCAUUCCAGCAACGACGUCCACAAGACCAGAUCCAAGGAGGUUUGUCGGCGAUAAGAGGUCCUGACAAUGGGAGGCGUUCACCAGAGCGGUCUCAACCUUUAAUAGCGGUUUGUCGUCAAGUUUUCUGAUAAGGCCCCACCGAGUCUGAAAACAUAGACAAGGUUAAAGAAAUAAAUAAGUGAUAACCAGGAACGUGAGGCAUAAAAUAAAAUAAACGACCUAGGGUAACAAAACGCGUUGGAAGGUAAAUAUCACCACCAAGCGAAUGGAUCGCUGGGCACUAAUUCCUCCUGCAAAGAAGAAUUUAUUCUUCCAAUUUUUACACGGGAAAGGACAUCCAACGACUGGUUUCCUCUUUGCAGAGCUCGACAUGAAGUAAUACAAACCCACCUCUUUAGGACUGCUCCUCUGCUGAUACAAAUGUUUUACUUCCACGAGGGAAGGCUCCCCGAGCUCACACCUUUCCCAUAGUACAAACAAGGCCGAAAGAACCCUCCACCCGUUUGGGUGAAGCUGACUUGGAGCCAGAUGAAUGCCACCCAAUAUCCUGGCAAAAUGAGGUUAAAGGGGCAACUGAGCCCCUAAUUUGAAGCUCUCUAGAUGCAGCGUCACAUACCCCUUAAGAGGCCAACUGGGAACAUCACUUUUCCCAGGGAUAGUAAGGAGGACGUUCUCGUGGAUAUUAUAAAGAUUUCUUAGCUUGAACAGAUCAGUGUGGGUAGUAGCACAAGUAAUAUAGUCAAUGGGGUAAGCAUCUGCCUCCAUCCUAUGACCGAGGUUUCUCUUCUUAGAGGGUCUACUCGACUCGAAACUGCUCUCCUCACCAUCACCCUCUUCCUCAGGGACCCCAGCCCCCUCAGAACUGUGAUUUUCACCAAAAUCCGAUGCUUGUCCACCACAGUUUCUCAUAAGCUCAUAAUCAAGGGAAGGCAAAAUGAUUUUGGGACGAGAGUACUCAAGGAUAUCCCUAUUAUAAGAAGGGCCUACGCUGCUAAAAGAGUAUAAGGGAUCAGUGGGUCUUAACAAGUUGGGGUACGAAUCAUCUACCUCUUCAUCACUGUCAUCUAUAAUUAAUUUUCCCCUUCGUCUUGACAUAGUGAAAUCUUAAAAGGAAAAAGUACAACAAAUCCAAAUAUAUUGGUACAAAAGGGACAAUACAAAACCCAAGCAAUAACAACUAGAAAAGAAGUUAAAGGCGAUACCUGGAAUAGAUCGACACUAGUGGCGUUGCGGUGACGGAGAAAGAGCCCGGCAAAAGGAAGUCUCCGGUGCGGAAAGCAUGUUUAAGGUCCAAAGGAGUUGGCUUUACGCCAGAAUGAUAGAUAACGAGAUGCAAUGGCAAUUCCAAUUUAGGGAUUUAAGACAAAAGGGGGAACGGAGGCGUUUAAGUUACGCGGAUGUCAGCUCAAUCGCCGCAUAUCGAGGACAGAUAAGUGACCGUUUCAAAUUUCGAAUACAGAAGGACAAAAAGUGACACGUCACUGACCAUUAAGAUGGCAUGGUGAGGUUUCAGCCCAGCUGCGUAUUGGAUACGCUCACGAAAGCCCAUUCUCAGGCCAGAAACUCUCUAAACAGAAAGAAUUAUCUCGGGUCCAUCACAGUAAUCAAGACGACAUGAUGGGGUGUCUGCCCAGCUGCAUAUGGGAUACGCUCAUGAAGGCCCACACUCGGGCCAAAAACUCUCUAAACAAAAGACAUCACCUCGAGUCCAUCACAAUAAAACAAGGACCGGAGGGAUGUUGCCUGAGGUUAGCCAGAUCCAAUUCUUAGUUUCUAAUCUCAACUCGUUUCACUCCAAGACCAGAAAUUGGGGGACUGGUGUUGAGUAAUGAAAAGUACCCAUCAGACAUCUCUCCAUCCUCACCCUGAGGCAAAUCUCCCCAGCUGAGCCUCAUAAGCCAAUUUCUAGUAAACAUCCUAUAUGAAACAUAUGCCGACUAGAAACAAUGUAUAUACCGACCAGAUACUCGUCAGUCAAAGAAAGCAGACACGAUCUCACAAACUCACGAUAGUUGCGCCAUGCUCCAAACCGCUGGGGAGGACAUGACAUCCCACGUUCACCCACGACUCGAGGGUUAGAAAUCCAUUAAAGCCCAUCAUCACCCGAGAAUAAGGGGCAUUAAGAAUGCUAGGAAAAACGUGGGAUGGUUGCCUAUAAAAGGCCAAGAAAUUAAUGAAGAAAGGACAACUACAAUGAAAUAAAUUUUUUCCUAUAUCUAAUUGCAUAGGUCACAAGAAAUAUAGCACUAAAAAAGAUCAAAUGAAAAUUCAGGACUAAUUAUUUACUUUCCUUAUUGCAUCAAUUUGAGGGGCAAAACAGAGGGCUAAGAAAUCGAUUCUAAAAACUAACUAGAAGCUAAAAAAGGGUAUCCUGAGCAAUUGGAUCACGAAAUCUUGGUGAUCUUCUCUAUCUAAUGAAUGGGGAGUCCGCUUUGAAAUCGUCUGCCCUUCUUUUCAAUUUUAAUGGAAAUAGUAAGAAAAAUAGAACCGAAAAGAAAGAGAAGGAAUAGGAAAGGGCCGUAUAGACCCAUUUGAAAUUUAAAACGAAUCAGUCGUACGUGGACGGUAGUUGGAGUCGGCGGCUCUCUUAGGGUUCCCUCAUCUGGGAUCCCUGGGGAAGAGGAUCAAGUUGGCCCUUGCGAACAGCUUGAUGAGUUGGAGCCAGGACUUCCUUUCGCACUAUUACGGAUACGAAAUUAAUGGGAAAAAUUGGAUUCAAUUGUCAACUGCUCCUAGAAAUAGGAUUGACAAUGCAGCUUCUGAAUAUCCGGAGGUAUAUUAUUAUUUGUUAAAUAAGAAUCAGAUUUGGCAGCUCGAAUAAUCUACAAAGAAUUAUGUGAGUAUCAAGAUGAUCACAUUUGGAAUACUAUGCAAAGCUGCAAACAGAAAUGUGGUGAAGAAUUUCAAUAAACACACCAGAUAAUCCUCCCACAUGCUAGCUAUCUCUCCCAGACUAGCUUCUGAAAUGUUUAAGUGCUCUGGCAGCUGUACUGAGUUCAUUAGGAAGAUCUUUUAUGACUUACAUCAUUAGCCAAAGAGUUAUUUAAAUUAUCUUCAUCAAAACCAUCAGAAGAGUUGCUGCAGGCAAAGAAAGUAGAAAACAGACCACAGAAUUCGAUUGUUAAGACAUUGAUGCAGAGACAAACAGCUAACAUCCAAAAUGGGAAAGGGAGGAACCUAGAAUCUUGCCAAAAUGACCGUUUAUCAAGAUAUGGAACUACAAUAGUGGCAUUUAUGAUACAAGCUACAGCUACCAUGUCGCAUAUCUGCAACUCAAACAUUUAGACUAUAACUCAGCUCUCAAUAAUAGCCACAAAAUAUAUUUAGCAAAGCAGUUGACGCUAAGCAAGAGGAAACAGAAAAACAUAUAUUAGAAAAACUACUUUUUUUAUAGUUAGUGGACCAAACACUAGAAGACGCACCAAUCAACUAAACUAACACCUUUUGCAUUUAAAUUGUCUAAAAUACUAUCAAUAGAAGGAGGAAACGUAGCAGGAAAAGCAAAGCAAUUUCAAGCAGUAAGCUUAUAGAUGGUUAAUGAGAAAAGUAUUCUAAGUGAGUACAACAGAUAAAUAUUUGUAGUUCAUCCAAUCCGACACUCACAGAUAGGAACCAGGUUAUGCUUAUGCAAAAAAAAAUACAAAUACAUUAUAUUCAUACUUUUAGUACUAAUGAUAAUAAUCAUAUCUAGAUGAUAUUAACCUAAAAUGAAGAAAUAUAAAAAGAUGCAUAAAUGGUUUCUGCUGUUCUCUUUUAACCAAUGUAUGAAUCAAUUUCCAAAAAUAUGUAAACGAAUAAACAUUAAAAUAGAACUCAGAAACGGACAUUAUAACAGGUCAAAAUGGAAUCAUUCACUGAAGCAUUCCAGGUGUAUAUUUUGUAACUUCUCAAUUCACCAUAUCAGAAAAUAAAGAGCUUCCUAGCAAUGGGAUAAUUACACAGACAAAAUGGAAACUUAUGGAUAGACGAAAACAAAAAUACAAACCUGAGCACGCAUCUGGUUGAAUCCAGUUAGCCAUCUGAUGUUGUCUCCAGUAAAUCUCCUAUACAUUUUCCUUACAGAUUAAAUAUUUUGUCCAAGAGAAGUAAGGUUCAAAAUCCAAACAACAACUUCAAAAUCAGUGAAAUCAAACGACAAAUAAGCUUCAAAAUUUAACUAAUUCGUUACCAAAACCCACUGAAACGCUAAAUAGAGAUAAUCUUUAUUUGAUCAAAUUAAGUCACUCACUUCAACCUAUUAAAUAAGAGAUAAGAAAUAACAAUAUGAACAAAUACCUAGGGUUUAUUCAAGAAAAACUCCAGCGCUGAAAAAAGGGCUAGGAAUUCUUUAAUAAGGACAACGACGCGACAGCUGCAGGCUCGACUUUGUCCGUCAAAAGGACAUAGCAUGGCGGCGGCAAGGAACGGCUAUCAUCGGCUCAAAAUAAUGGCAACAAGGAACAACGGUGUAAAUCAAACGGCUAUCAUCGGCGAGUCAAUGACCGGCCAAAAUGACGGUGAGAACGGCCGGAUUCGUAGGGGAAUUUCAGUGAGACCUUCAAGCUGUCCAAGUUGUUUUCCGAUCAAUCAUUUUAGUGGCUGUAAUUUUUUUUUUUUUCCCCCGUGGUUUCUUCUAAUUUGAUGUAGAGUUUUGCUUUAUUUGAGUUUUAGGGUCAGUGGAGAGCGAGGGAAUCAAUUGUGUUAAGAGAAGGAAG
rnacentral:lncRNA from 1 species